UUUUCCAUUCUCAUCGGGGCUCUCGCUAUUUUCUCUCUUUUCUAAAGGUUUUUUGUGGUCUCGGUCCUUCUAUAAUCUUUCAUUCAAGUUGUGAUCGAUUCAGGUUUGAACAUUACAAAUUUCAUGUGGAUCUGUUUUGAAUCGCAGGUGAUGAAUUUGUAAAGGGCGUUGCUCAACUCGUGGUCAGAUUCAUCUCUUAAGCAUGGCAUGCAUAUCAGCAACUUCAACUUCACUUGUGCAUAAGGAUAUUUAUGCUUCUGAUUAUAGUAGUCGAGGGGAUGUCAUGAAAGUAGCACGGGCUACAUGUUUUGGAGGCACCGACAAUUUCCAUAACAUAUCAAUUGUUGGAACAAAUGACAUAAGAAGGCUCAGGAAUUUAGGGGUAAGGGCCACAUUGACGGUAGGUCCUUCUAUUGGAGUAGGGAAGGACAAGCGCAGUCGACAUACAGUGGAUCCAUCAGCUCCAGAUUUUUUGCCACUUCCAUCAUUUGAGCAGUGUUUCCCUAACAGCACAAAGGAAUUCAGGGAAGUUUUUUAUAAGCCAAGUGGCUUAGUCAUGCGUGUUCCGUUUCGUCGCAUACACUUGUCUGGAGAAGAGCCCUAUUUUGAUGCGUAUGAUACAAGUGGUCCUCAAAAUAUAAAUCCCUGGAUUGGUCUUCCUAAGAUUAGAAAGGAGUGGAUUGAAAUCCGUGAAAGACGUGAUGAUCGUCGCUUCACACAAAUGUUUUAUGCAAAACAAGGUGUGAUAACUGAAGAGAUGUUGUUUUGUGCUACAAGAGAAAAUGUUGAUGCUGAAUUUGUUCGUUCUGAGGUGGCCCGUGGUCGUGCUAUUAUUCCUUCAAACAAGAAACAUCUGGAAUUGGAGCCUAUGAUAGUUGGGAGAAAUUUUCUGGUGAAGGUAAAUGCAAAUAUUGGAAACUCGGCUGUGACAAGCUCAAUUGAAGAGGAGGUUCAAAAGUUACAGUGGGCAACCAUGUGGGGUGCAGAUACAAUUAUGGAUUUAUCCACUGGUCGACACAUUCAUGAAACUCGCGAGUGGAUUUUGCGUAAUUCUUCUGUGCCAGUGGGUACAGUACCGAUAUAUCAAGCUCUUGAAAAGGUUGAUGGAAUUGCUGAGAAGCUGACUUGGGAGAUUUUUAGAGAAACUUUGAUUGAACAAGCUGAACAGGGAGUGGACUACUUCACAAUACAUGCUGGUGUUCUGCUCUCUUAUAUUCCUCUGACUGCAAAGCGGAUGACUGGAAUUGUGUCUCGAGGAGGCUCCAUUCAUGCAAAAUGGUGUUUGACAUAUCAUAAAGAGAAUUUUGCAUAUGAGCAUUGGGAUGAAAUCCUUGACAUUUGUAAUCAAUAUGAUAUUUCUCUUUCUAUAGGAGACGGGUUGAGACCUGGUUCUAUUUAUGAUGCAAAUGAUGCUGCACAAUUUGCAGAACUUGCUACUCAAGGUGAGCUUACUCGUCGUGCUUGGGAAAAAGAUGUGCAAGUGAUGAAUGAAGGACCUGGUCAUAUCCCAAUGCAUAAGAUCCCUGAAAAUAUGGAAAAACAACUGGAUUGGUGUAAUGAGGCACCAUUUUACACGCUUGGCCCACUUACAACAGAUAUUGCUCCCGGCUAUGACCAUAUAACCUCAGCUAUUGGUGCUGCUAAUAUAGGUGCACUUGGCACUGCACUGCUCUGUUAUGUAACUCCCAAAGAACAUCUUGGCUUGCCUAAUCGAGAUGAUGUCAAGGCUGGUGUCAUAGCAUACAAGAUUGCUUCUCAUGCAGCAGAUUUAGCAAAACAGCAUCCUCUUGCUCAAGCAUGGGAUGAUGCUUUGAGUAAGGCACGCUUUGAAUUUCGCUGGAAAGAUCAGUUCGCACUGUCUCUCGAUCCUACUACUGCUCAGGAAUUUCAUGAUGAGACCCUUCCUGCAGAAGGUGCUAAGGUAGCCCACUUUUGUUCUAUGUGUGGGCCAAAGUUUUGUUCCAUGAAAAUUACAGAGGAUGUGAGGAAGUAUGCUGAAGAGCAUGGAUAUGGAGAUGGAGAAGAAGCUAUCAAGCAUGGCAUGAAUAAUAUGAGUGCGGUGUUUCUUGCUGCAAAGAAAACUGUCAGUGGAGAGCAGUGGGGAGAAACUGGAGGGGAAAUAUAUGUACCUUUGAACCAUGCCAGUGAAGGAAAGAGUACAUUGGCCCAUUCACAGGCUUCUGAUUCAUAAGAGGUCUUGAUUGUUUGGAGGUCUUCAGAUAUGCAGAAUCAAAUAAAUUGGUGUAGUUAGUUUUUCAAUAAUGUAGUUUUUAUAAUUUCCUAAUGCAACUUUUAAGGGAGAAUUUUAUUUUUUAGUUUACAAAACAGACCAUCUAGAUUCUGAUGGGUGCUUACCUUGUUUCCAUCACUAGCAAAGCUAGGGCUGUUAACAGGAGUAGGCUGAGAAAGUCCCUUUGAACCUGAGCAGGGUAAUACCUGCGUAGGGAGUGUGCCUUUCUUUUGUUUGACACAGGCUUAUUGCUUUGACCAUGCUACUGGAGGGCAUUAUGCUUCUUUUGGCAAGGUCUUGUGGGGUGCGCUGAAAAUCAGUGAACAUUAUUCUAAUUUCUCUAUUAUCAAAUAGUCUGAAAGGUUAUAAAAAGUGUGAUAUAAAUCAGUUUAACAAAGCUUAGGAUUAGAAUAGUAAAGUACUAGCAUUCAGUGUCAUAGUGGGGGCUUCACACUAGCCUCUGAAAUCCUUUCUUUCAUAUAGCUAGUGCACAAUUAUACCUGCUGCUUUAUUCUUGUAUUAGAAGAUGCCUAUUUAUGUUUUUGAUGCAAUUUUGCUUUACAUA